ACACCUGUUCCCAUGCCGAACACAGCAGUUAAGCUCUUCAGCGCCGAUGGUAGUCGGGUUUACCCCCGUGAGAGUAGGACGCCGCCACAU
rnacentral:rRNA from 1 species